rnacentral:rRNA from 1 species
AACGAACGCUGGCGGCGCGUCUUACACAUGCAAGUCGAACGGCAGGAAGGGGCUUGCCCCUUCUGAGAGUGGCGGACUGGUGAGUAACACGUGGGUGACAUACCUUUUAGUUGGGGAUAGCUAUUAGAAAUAGUAGGUAAUACCGAAUGUGACCGUACCUGUUAGAGGGGUACGAGGAAAGGAGCUAAGGCUUCGCUAAAAGAAUGGCUCGCGGCCCAUUAUGCUCGUUGGUGAGGUAACGGCCCACCAAGGCGAGGAUGGGUAUCCGGCCUGAGAGGGUGAACGGACACAUUGGGACUGAGAUACGGCCCAGACUUCUACGGGAGGCAGCAGUUAAGAAUAUUCCGCAAUGGACGAAAGUCUGACGGAGCGACGCCGCGUGGAUGAAGAAUGCCGAAAGGUUGUAAAAUCCUUUUAAGCCUGAUGAAUAAGCACAGUAGGGAAUGAUUGUGCGGUGACCGUAGGGCUUGAAUAAGCACCGGCUAAUUACGUG